rnacentral:rRNA from 1 species
AUUGAACGCUGGCGGCAUGCCUUACACAUGCAAGUCGAACGGUAACGGGCCUUCGGGUGCCGACGAGUGGCGAACGGGUGAGUAAUGUAUCGGAACGUACCUUUCAGUGGGGGAUAACGUAGCGAAAGUUACGCUAAUACCGCAUAUUCUGUGCGCAGGAAAGCAGGGGAUCGCAAGACCUUGCGCUGAUUGAGCGGCCGAUAUCAGAUUAGCUAGUUGGUGAGGUAAAGGCUCACCAAGGCGACGAUCUGUAGCGGGUCUGAGAGGAUGAUCCGCCACACUGGAACUGAGACACGGUCCAGACUCCUACGGGAGGCAGCAGUGGAGAAUUUUGGACAAUGGGGGCAACCCUGAUCCAGCCAUGCCGCGUGAGUGAAGAAGGCCUUCGGGUUGUAAAGCUCUUUCGGCCGGGAAGCAAUCGUAUCAGCUAAUACCUGGUGCGGGUGACGGUACCGGCAUAAGAAGCACCGGCUAACUACGUGCCAGCAGCCGCCGCCGUAA